UUUUUUUUUUUUUUUUUUUUUUUUUGUUGGUUGUAACAAUGGUCAUUUUAAGGUUGGCAACCUGGGAUCCCAGAGUUUGUGUCAAUCUGGGAUGAAGACUGGGACAAGUUUGAAGAUGAAGGAUUUUCAUUUGAUGUUGCUGUCCCUGCAAAUUCCAAGUCAACAUCUGUUCACAAAGAGAAUUCUUCGCCGACUCAUAACUUUUCCCCUGAUUCUGGGUCAAAUGCUGAUGCUACAUCUGAAAAACCCUUCAGUAAAGGUGUAAGUCCUUUCGAGACUGAAUCGCCCUAUGCACAUAGUGAAGAUGAAUCAAAGAGUUCUCAAGGAAGUCCAGCAAGACAAACAACAUUUGAAAGUCCAUCUCCCAAAUACUCAGAAAAUGAUUUCAGGAAGAGCUCCGAUGGAGAAGCUGAAAUUCAUAGAAGCUUUGACGAACCUGCAUGGGGUACUUUUGACAAUAAUGAUGACAUUGAUUCAGUUUGGGGCUUCAGUGCUAAGGUGAGAAGACUUGUGGAGUCCUAGUCCAUCUUAUA